AGAAGCAGCCAUCAUUUAAAGAAAGCGUAAUAGCUCACUGGUCGAGUCGGCCUGCGCGGAAGAUGUAACGGGGCUAAACCAUGCACCGAAGCUGCGGCAGCGACGCUUAGGCGUUGUUGGGUAGGGGAGCGUUCUGUAAGCCGUUGAAGGUGGCCUGUGAGGGUUGCUGGAGGUAUCAGAAGUGCGAAUGCUGACAUAAGUAACGAUAAAGCGGGUGAAAAGCCCGCUCGCCGGAAGACCAAGGGUUCCUGUCCAACGUUAAUCGGGGCAGGGUGAGUCGACCCCUAAGGCGAGGCUGAAAAGCGUAGUCGAUGGGAAACAGGUUAAUAUUCCUGUACUUGGUGUUACUGCGAAGGGGGGACGGAGAAGGCUAGGCUGGCCGGGCGACGGUUGUCCCGGUUUAAGCGUGUAGGGGGUGUGACCUGGUAAAUCCGGUUGCAUACUAACCCUGAGGCGUGAUGACGAUGCACUACGGUGCAGAAGUAGUUGAUGCCCUGCUUCCAGGAAAAGCCUCUAA
rnacentral:rRNA from 1 species